GCUGAUGCUCUCAUCUCUCCGUGGUUGUGUUGGGACAAUCCCUGCCCCUCAGGCUCAGUGCUCCAGGCUGCCCCAAGGAGAGGCUCAGCCAGCAAGGACACAGAAACAGUGACAGGGAAUGGGGACUGUGGGCAAAGCACAGCCCCUCCCUCUGGCGAGGGCAGGCAGAGUCUCUGGACCGGACUGAUAAGGGUACCUCAGGUGUCUCGGCCCAAACUUUUCCUGCGAAGAAUAAUAAGAUGAUCCAGUGGGGAGUUCCUGAAUCCACCCCGUGACUUUGGCAAACUCCAGUUGUGGAAAGAGAAGACAUGGUGCCACUAGAAAGGCAAGGCCUGAAUCCGGAUCGAGUUUGUUGGACUGAUGAGCUCGACUUUUUGGCUUGAGGAGAGAGUUCAGCAGAAGUGCAGGAAUGUCCCUGGGCAGAAGCAGUCCUAACAGGGUGCACAGAUCGAACAGUGCCCCAGCAUCCUUAGUCCAUGCAGACAGAGAGUGGGAGAAGAGAGAGAGAGAGGUUGGAGCCCAUCAGCCAAGCGCAGCAGAGCCCCCGUGAACAGUGCAGCGUGGUUUGUUCUCACACAAUGUGGAUUCGCACAAAUGGGAUUUUCCUGCAUGUGUCUCUUGCCUUAUUCGCUCUGUGAGCUGUUUGGAGUGGGCAUGUGUCGGAGUUGUGUUGUGUCAGAGCACAGCACUUUCACGGCACUAACCCCAUGUCUGAUACUAACCCCACCCCUGAUCUGCACCCUGACUCAGUGCCAUGCAGACCACAAACCCUUCCCUUCCACUUGCCACCUUUCCUCCCUUCUAGGUCAUAGAGAGAACAGGAAGCUGUGUUUUCCCUUCAGUAUGCUCAACAUGCUCGCAGCUCUGCAUUAAGACAAUGACUAUAAUCAAUCUCAUGCUUCAAGGCUUCCACCAGUCAUCUGCAGGGGUCAGGAAGGAAGUUUUUGCCUCCUGAUGCAUAGUUGGCCAGAUGUAUUAUGGAUUUUUUUCACCUUUCUCUGAAGCAGGGGUGUGCAAUAAUUUUGACAGAGGGGCCACUCUGUGAAUUUUGUGGUACAGCAUCACCAGGAGAUACAUGCAUCGGACUAUCCCACUGCUCCAUGGCUAGAGCACUGCCUUGAGAGGUGGAAAAUCCCUCUGCAAAUCCUUUCUCACCCUCAGGCAAUGGGGGAAUAGAGCCUGGGUCUCCCACAUCCCCAAUGAGUGUGUUGUCCACUGGGACCUGCCUGCAACUGCUGCUGAUUUGUGUGGAGCGAGGCAGGUGCCAAACUUUUUCUCCCGAGUGACACAGGUACCUGAGCUGCCUGCCUCUGGGGGCACUCCCAGCUGUGGAUCACUAGCAGAGAUCAGCCCUCCCUGCAUCCCUGACUUAGGCCCCAAGCUCCAAGAGAGGAGCAGGAUUUACGACUCCGGCUUUUGUGAGUGGCAUUCUAAGGCGCCUCUCCCCAUUCAUUGUAUAGGGAGCCUGGGUGCCUAACUCAGGCUCUGUGGCCUGCAGUGAUGUUCCUGUGGUUUUCUAGUGGCCUAAAAUGUAGGUGUUGUCAUGCUCAGCAUCGCAAUACCUCAGUGCCUUGUAGAUCCAGGUCUCAGAUACUGUAGUGAUGCGCACCACAGAAAACCCAGGCGGAAAUUAAUAACUGUCUGCAGAGCAGAGUUUGAACAGUGUGCUGUGAAUAAGGCCUCGGGUUACACACUGAACAAUGAAGAUGUAACAGAAUAGUGAGUAGCAGCUCAUUCAGGGAACACUUUUCACCCCAUGGAGUGUGGAAAAAUAGAAGCUGGGACCGUGUAACUAAAGACUGGCUCAUCAUGUAUACCCACAAGAGGGCUUCAUUAUGGCUGCACAGGAAAAUCUUAAUUCUGGAAUUUCCUACCUUUUGGGUACUUGACUUUGCAACCUUAAUAAUGUUCUUUUUAAAGUAGUUCAUGUUUUUGGGGUGUGUAAUAAUUUAUACAAGCUAGAUGGAGACUUGUGGGGCUCUGCCCCUGUGAGGGGGAGAAGCACAAAUGAUGGGGCAGAGUUAAGGCUGGGGCG